rnacentral:rRNA from 1 species
AUGUUUAACAUGGCACAUCACUCUAAUUCCUCCCCCUCCCCAUCUUGGCGGGAUGUUCCUCGUUUCUCUUCGAGCAGCCUUCGUCCGGCUUCGUCGGGCGACAACGAGGAACCAGUUUCUGAAACGGGGAUGGACUCUUGCAGUCGAUCUUUAGAACUUUCCCUCUCUUCUCUUGGGUUGGUGAUAACCCACAAGUAUAGGGGAUCACAAGAGUUUUCGAGGGUAGAGUAUUCAACCCAAAUUUAUAGAUUCGACAAAAGGGGAGCUAAAGAAUAUUUGCAAGUAUUAGCAACUAAGUUGUCAAUUCAAUCACACCUGAGAUUAAUUAUCUGCAGCAAAGUGAUCAGUAGCAUAGUAAUAUGA